ACGAGUUAGGGUCUUUCUGGCCCGACCUCCCAACCCUUUGUCUACUUGACCAUCGUUGCUUCGGCGAGCCCGUCCUCCUGGACCGCCGGAGGGACCCUCAUCGGCCCUCUGGUCCGCGCUCGUCGGUAGCCCAACUUUAAAAAUCUUUAACUAAACGUGUCUCAAUCUAAGUACUAUUAUUAAAUAAAAGCA
rnacentral:misc_RNA from 1 species